rnacentral:rRNA from 1 species
GAUGAGCGCUGGCGGCGUGCUUAACACAUGCAAGUCGAACGGUGAAGCCAAGCUUGCUUGGUGGAUCAGUGGCGAACGGGUGAGUAACACGUGAGCAACCUGCCCUGGACUCUGGGAUAAGCGCUGGAAACGGUGUCUAAUACUGGAUAUGGGCUCCUUCCGCAUGGUGGGGGUUGGAAAGAUUUUUCGGUCUGGGAUGGGCUCGCGGCCUAUCGGCUUGUUGGUGAGGUAAUGGCUCACCAAGGCGUCGACGGGUAGCCGGCCUGAGAGGGUGACCGGCCACACUGGGACUGAGACACGGCCCAGACUCCUACGGGAGGCAGCAGUGGGGAAUAUUGCACAAUGGGCGGAAGCCUGAUGCAGCAACGCCGCGUGAGGGAUGACGGCCUUCGGGUUGUAAACCUCUUUUAGCAGGGAAGAAGCUUUUGUGACGGUACCUGCAGAAAAAGCGCCGACUAACUACGUGCCAGCCGCCGCAGUAA